AGUGCCGACCAGAGAGGCAGUUCAUGUAGCCUCAUUAGUAAAGCCCCCAGGGGCUGUGACUGUCCUGCGCGGGCUUCCAAGUCCACCUGAGAGUUCUGAUGCUGUGCUGACCCCAUGGCACAUCAGGGGCAGCGAGCCUGCUGUCCACACUGGCUGGGAGAAGCAGCAGCCAGGCAAGAGAACAACAAACAGGGGCAGGCAGCCACCCACCAAGAGGACAUGUGGAACCAGGCAGCACGCCAUUUGGAAAGCAAGUCUAUAUGGGAGUGGUCACUAUCAUGGAAAGGAAAAAGAAUGGGAAAACCUGAGAUUUAAGAAAGACCCAAUGCUGUUCUAGAAGCAUCUUCAGAAAGAGCAAUAAAGCUUCUUUGGGGAAGUCACAGGACACAGACUCUCCAGGGUGGAAGGGAUCUUGAAGAGCACAGAGGCCAAGUCCUCAUCCAUCUCUCGACUUCCUUCAUGACUCAUCUGAAGACGGCUGGAUUGGUCUAUGUCUGUACCCUACCCUCACCCCACAAUCCCAGUCCACCCUAUCUCAGAACAAUUUCAAAUGCAGGGGAGGAUCAGAGAUGAAGAUGUUACUCCAAAAGUAUACAUGCAAAGAUGUUCUGGAAGUGCUACUUCUUAACUUGUCUGGUCUUAUAGUCUGUGGUUGAAAGAGUCCUCCAUGGAGAAGUCUACUGCCGAAGUCCACUGAUUUUCACUGCCGUAUGAUAUUCCAUCGUGUGGCACGUGGAACAAUCAGGAUCAUAUUUCAACAUGAGAUCCCCACGUUGAUGUCUCAGUCUUGGGUAGACAUGGUAGGGCUGGUAGGAAGUGGUCUAAUGACUUCCAUUCCUCUGUUGGAACAUUUGGGUUGCUUUUGGGUGUUUUGUUAUUAAAAACACUGCUGCUGCUA
rnacentral:lncRNA from 1 species